rnacentral:rRNA from 1 species
AGAAUCAACGCUGGCGGCGCGCCUAACACAUGCAAGUCGAACGAGAAAGUGGAGCAAUCCAUGAGUACAGUGGCGUACGGGUGAGUAACACGUGGGUAAUCUACCCUUUGGUGGGGAAUAACUCUGGGAAACUAGAGCUAAUACCGCAUAAUCCCGAGAGGGAAAAGCAGCAAUGCGCCGAAGGAGGAGCCCGCGGCCGAUUAGCUAGUUGGUAGGGUAAUGGCCUACCAAGGCUGAGAUCGGUAGCCGGCCUGAGAGGGCACACGGCCACACUGGCACUGAAACACGGGCCAGACUCCUACGGGAGGCAGCAGUGGGGAAUCUUGCACAAUGGGGGAAACCCUGAUGCAGCGACGCCGCGUGAGCGAUGAAGCCCGUUCGGGGUGUAAAGCUCGUUUCGGCAGGGAAGAUUAGUGACGGUACCUGCAGAAGCAGCUGCGGCUAACGUACGCGCCAGCAGCCGCGGUAA